AAAUUGAAGAGUUUGAUCAUGGCUCAGAUUGAACGCUGGCGGCAGGCCUAACACAUGCAAGUCGAACGGUAACAGGAAACAGCUUGCUGUUUCGCUGACGAGUGGCGGACGGGUGAGUAAUGUCUGGGAAACUGCCCGAUGGAGGGGGAUAACUACUGGAAACGGUAGCUAAUACCGCAUAACGUCGCAAGACCAAAGAGGGGGACCUUCGGGC
rnacentral:rRNA from 1 species